AUGGCAGGCGUGCAGACCAUGGCUCGCUAUGGAAGGCCCUUCCCUUCCCUCUCUCUGUUCGGGCCAUGCUCAGGCAGUCUUUUCUCUUCUCUUCCCGCAAAAAAAGUCUUUUCUCUUCAUGAUCUGAACAUGUUGAAGGCCAUUAUUUCUCCACUGCCGGAGUCUAGCCUCCCUCCGUGGGAUGCCAUGGAGAUGAAACUCCCCUCGACGAAAGAAUUCAAGGGCAUGUGGGAGAGAGAGGAGGUCCAUGGAGAAGAAGCUCUGCUCCAACCCUCCCUGCCUCCUAAUACAAGAUGUCUUUUUUUGUGUGUGCUUGUAUUGCAGCAGCCAUGCCAUGGAGGCUUUGAUGAGCACGAGGGGAAGGCCGCUGCUUCAACCCCGUUAAGCUUACGUGUGGGAUUUGCUUCGGAAGUUGUCCACGUGAGUCAAUGGGUGCUGCUUCAUGUGGGCAUCCUUUCUGUGGUGUAUGUUGGAGAGGUUACACACCUGAUGAUGUUUACGGCUAGGCACAGGAACAAGCAGAGGCCGAGGAAGUGCGGGCACGCGCAGCUGGCCUUGGCAGGUGUAGGAACCGUGCGAGGAAGGUUCAGCGCGCUGCACAAGUCGGGCCACGCCCGGAGCGCCGUGCCAACGCAUGUGUGCGUGGUCGGUGGGUUAGCCAAGAUCUGCAUUCUGCGACUUCAUCUUCACCAUGGACACAAGCAAGGACUGAUUGGUGGUUCUUGGUAG
rnacentral:rRNA from 1 species